GUGGCGGACGGGUGAGUAACACGUGGGUAACCUGCCCAAAAGUGGGGGAUAACAUUUGGAAACAAGUGCUAAUACCGCAUAACAACUACUUUCACAUGAUCGUAGCUUGAAAGAUGGCUCUGCUAUCGCUUUUGGAUGGACCCGCGGCGUAUUAGCUAGUUGGUGAGGUAAUAGCUCACCAAGGCAAUGAUACGUAGCCGACCUGAGAGGGUAAUCGGCCACAUUGGGACUGAGACACGGCCCAAACUCCUACGGGAGGCAGCAGUAGGGAAUCUUCCACAAUGGGCGAAAGCCUGAUGGAGCAAUGCCGCGUGAGUGAAGAAGGUUUUCGGAUCGUAAAACUCUGUUGUUGAAGAAGAACAUGCGUGAGAGUAACUGUUCACGUACUGACGGUAUUCAACCAGAAAGCCACGGCUAACUACGUGCCAGCAGCCGCGGUAAUACGUAGGUGGCAAGCGUUGUCCGGAUUUAUUGGGCGUAAAGAGAAUGUAGGCGGUUUAUUAAGUUUGAAGUGAAAGUCCU
rnacentral:rRNA from 1 species